rnacentral:rRNA from 1 species
CAAUAGCGUAUAUUAAAGUUGUUGCAGUUAAAAAGCUCGUAGUUGGAUUUCUGGUAGGAGCGACCGUGCCGAACUUGAUUGUUCGAGUAUUGUGUUGUCUUCAGCCAUCCUCGUGGAGAACUUUUCUAACAUUAACUUGUUGGGAUUGGGACACGCGUCGUUUACUGUGAAAAAAUUAGAGUGUUUAAAGCAGGCAUUAGCUUGAAUACAUUAGCAUGGAAUAAUAAGAUAGGACUUUGGUACUAUUUUGUUGGUUUGCAUACCAAAUUAAUGAUCAACAGGAACAGUUUGAGGAUAUUCGUAUGAACAUGUCAGAGGUGAAAUUCUUGGAUUUUGAUCAGACGAACUACUGCGAAAGCAUUUAUCAAGGAUGUUUUCAUUAA